rnacentral:rRNA from 1 species
UCAUAAUCAUUAGUCUUUUAAUUUGAGACUGGUAUGAAAGAGUAAACCAGGAGAACAUUUUUUCAACUGAAAGAAUAAAUUUUACUUUUUAGUAAGAAGGCUAAAAUUUAGCUUUUAGACAAGAAGACCCUAUAAAACUUUAUAUUUUUACUUCCUUUGAUGAAAGAAGAAAUAUUUAACUGGGGCGGUGGAGAAAAAAGCUUUCUUUAUAAAGAAAGACAAACAUGUUUUAAUACCUAGAAAUUCUAAAGAAGGAAUAAGUUACUUUAGGGAUAACAGCUUAAUUUACUUAGAAAGAUCAAAUUGACAAGUAAGUUUAUGACCUCGAUGUUGAAUUAAAAGUCCUUUUUUGUGCAAAAGCUUUAAAA